GCAGCCAUCUUGCCCGUGCCUCCGUGGCACGGAACAGCCGUUAGUCCCGGCAGAGGGCUCCGCGAAGACGGUGCCGUCGUUGGGCGCGCGCGCGGGCGGGAGCUGUCAGGGCGGGGCGGCACCGCCGAGCUCCGAGCUUUCCAGAAGCAAAAACAAAAAAAGUUCGGGUACAGCGGCUCACACCUGUAAUCCCAGCUCUUAGGGAGAUGGAAACUGGAGGAUCACUUGAGGCCAGGAGUUCAAGACCAGCCUGGGCAACAUAGCAAGACCCAGUCUCUUAAAAGAAAAUUAAAAAGAAAGAGUAAAUAAAGUUCCAGAAGCUUUGCUCUCCUUAUCCAAGCAGCGUUUGUACUUUGGCACUGGAAAGUGUGGGAGUCAGGUGUUUGUGAGAGCACGUGUUGGUUGUCGCAUUGGUCAGGAUGCACCCAUCACUCUGUAUCCUCUGGCUAAGGAGUGCUGGAGAGCCGUGAUGCCCACUGGCUGUUGUCCCGGGCUUGUCCCUCAAAGACGGGACAGAUGGCUCCUUCCAGUUCUGGCCCAGACUGUCCUCUGAGCUGGGAGCACAGGGAUCCUCCCUGAGUAGAUGACCUGUCAGGUCAGCUGGAUCCAGAGGUCCCACAACUUCUCAAGGCAGAGCUGGCAGCUGUCCAGAAGGCAGCAGCCAUGAUAACAAACGUGGUUGGCCCAGGCCCAGACCUGUCCCCUGGCAACAGAGAACAGCAGGACUGGCUUUGACAUUGUUUUAGGGAGCCAGGCACCCUUCCCAGUCAGGGCAGAAGCCCCCUGGAGAGCUGGGCUCCUGACCUCACCG
rnacentral:lncRNA from 1 species